AAGCCGUCGUCGGGGUUGCCGCACCAGAUGGCUUGCCGCGCCAUCGAAGACAGCACUUUGCCACGGAGGUGCCAGUCGCCCGCCUCUUC
rnacentral:tRNA from 1 species